UCUUUCUGUCCCUACUCGCCCAAUCCGCUUAGUACAAGGCGAUUUGAUAAGAUGCUAGUAUUGUGCAUUUCCAAGCUGGCUGCAAAGAAUGGGACUUGCUCUCCUCUGAAGUCAGCAUGGAAACACAGAAUACCAGCUUCUUAGCAGAAUGUCUAUCCUUUUCACAGCUCAAGCUCCCCUUAUUCCCUUGCUGCUAUGUGAACAUGCUGGGAAAACAUCACCUGCUAAAUGUUAGUAUAUUGUGCACUUACUAGUGUGGACCCCUCUAAAAAGGACAUUGACUACCUUAUUUCGAAUCAAAUAUUCUUAAUCCCCCCCAUGCCCUCAAUACUAUUGCUUGCCACUAUAUGAGUGGGAUACAAGCCUAAAAAAUAAAUAGUUAAAUAUUUUGCA
rnacentral:lncRNA from 1 species